rnacentral:rRNA from 1 species
CCUACGGGAGGCAGCAGUGAGGAAUAUUGGUCAAUGGACGGAAGUCUGAACCAGCCAUGCCGCGUGCAGGAAGACGGCUCUAUGAGUUGUAAACUGCUUUUGUACAAGGGUAAACCUGAAUACGUGUAUUCAGCUGAAAGUACUGUACGAAUAAGGAUCGGCUAACUCCGUGCCAGCAGCCGCGGUAAUACGGAGGAUCCAAGCGUUAUCCGGAUUUAUUGGGUUUAAAGGGUGCGUAGGCGGAUUGAUAAGUUAGAGGUGAAAUGUCCGAGCUUAACUCGGGAACUGCCUCUAAUACUGUUGAUCGAGAGAGUAGAUGCGGGAGGCGAAAUGUAUGGUGUAGGGGUGAAAUCCUUAGAGACCAUACAGAACACCGAUUGCGAAGGCAGCUAACCAAUCUAUAUCUGACGUGGAGGCACGAAAGCGUGGGGAGCAAACAGGAUAAGAUACCCGAGUAGUC